rnacentral:rRNA from 1 species
UAUACCCUACGGGACGCAGCAGUGAGGAAUAUUGGUCAAUGGGCGCGAGCCUGAACCAGCCACGUCGCGUGAGGGAGGACGGCCCUACGGGUUGUAAACCUCUUUUGCCGGGGAGCAACGGGCGUCACGUGUGGCGCCACUGAGAGUACCCGGAGAAAAAGCAUCGGCUAACUCCGUGCCAGCAGCCGCGGUAAUACGGAGGAUGCGAGCGUUAUCCGGAUUUACUGGGUGUAAAGGGAGCGCAGGCGGCGCGUUAAGCCUG